CCCUUCUCAGGGUCGCACCUGGAGAAGUUCCAGUCCUCUACCAGUCUCGGCUAUGGGAGGGAGAGUCAAGCGGAGGCUUAGCCAUCCCAUUCCUUGCUUAGCCAGUGGCUAGCGAGUGGAAGACAAUCCGCUACAAGU